rnacentral:rRNA from 3 species
AUUUUAGUUGCAGCAAUGAAUGCAUCAAUUCAAAACGAUAUGAAGAGUGCAGCCAAUUGCAUUAAUUAUUGCAAAUUGCAGAAUUCCGUGAGUCAUUUUUCUUGAAUGUAGGCAUACUCCUGGGCCAUUCCUGAGAGCAUUAUUUGUUCAGUGUUCAUU